rnacentral:lncRNA from 1 species
UGAAACAUGGUUAAAUUUUCAAUCCAUCUUAUAUGAUGUGAACACGCACAGAGAUGAUUUAAAAAACCAGUCUUACUUUUGAAUUAUAUACUUUUUUUAACAAAAGUGUACUGAUAUAUGGAAAACAAAGUGGAAAACAAAGGUAUAUAUGUACAAAAGGAGAAACCUGUACAACUCAGAUUCAUGGACUACAAACGCUGGUGAUCAAGUAGUACACUCGACCCGACUUUAGAAAUAGUCCAGAGAUUAGGCCAUUAGUAACUAUGCAGAUCAUAAAAUAUGUAUACAAAUGUCUGCUUUGGGCCUAACCUACAUUUCAGAACUUCAAACUUAUCAAUCACUUAUAUCAUAACUCCUCUGCAAAAUGAACAUGAAAAAGGCUAAGAAAAGUAAAAACUGUAUACAGUGCAAUAACAUACGGUUGGAUCCAGCAGAUUGAAAACUACACCGGACAAAUUAAUACAAAAAAUUAAAAGGUUUAAUGGACUAAAAUCUAUUAUUAAAAUCUUCAAAAUAAGGGUUUACCAUUACUUCCCGCACAUGCAGUAUGUGAAUUGGGAUCGACAUUUUCGAUGUUCUCAUUGUUUACAUCACCAGGCACUCGAUUUUCGUUAACACCAUGUCUCCUCUGGACUACAUAAUGAAUCAGAAAAUAUAAGGAAGAUGGACCCUCAAAAAACAAUACAUAAUGAAGAAACGCAUCAAAGACGG